rnacentral:rRNA from 1 species
AUGGACGAAAGUCUGACCGAGCAACGCCGCGUGAGUGAAGAAGGUUUUCGGAUCGUAAAGCUCUGUUGUAAGUCAAGAACGUGUGUGAGAGUGGAAAGUUCACACAGUGACGGUAGCUUACCAGAAAGGGACGGCUAACUACGUGCCAGCAGCCGCGGUAAUACGUAGGUCCCGAGCGUUGUCCGGAUUUAUUGGGCGUAAGGGGAGCGCAGGCGGUCAGGAAAGUCUGGAGUAAAAGGCUAUGGCUCAACCAUAGUGUGCUCUGGAAACUGUCUGACUUGAGUGCAGAAGGGGAGAGUGGAAUUCCAUGUGUAGCGGUGAAAUGCGUAGAUAUAUGGAGGAACACCAGUGGCGAAAGCGGCUCUCUGGUCUGUCACUGACGCUGAGGCUCGAAAGCGUGGGUAGCGAACAGGAUUAGAUACCCUGGUAGUCCACGCCGUAAACGAUGAGUGCUAGGUGUUAGGCCCUUUCCGGGGCUUAGUGCCGGAGCUAACGCAAUAAGCACUCCGCCUGGGGAGUACGACCGCAAGGUUGAAACUCAAAGGAAUUGACGGGGGCCCGCACAAGCGGUGGAGCAUGUGGUUUAAUUCGAAGCAACGCGAAGACCUUACCAGGUCUUAACAUCCCGAUGCUAUUCUUAGAGAUAGGAAGUUACUUCGGUACAUCGGAGACAGGUGGUGCAUG